rnacentral:lncRNA from 1 species
CUCUUCCUUCCCAGCCUACAGAACUUUAAUAGCAUUUUCAAUUAACAGAAGUGCAAGGAGCUCCUGUUGGACCUGUGUUCCAUGAGGAAGGCUUUCACUAGCCCUUCAUGAUAGGUUCAAACACUUGAAGACCUGAGGAAUUUCAGAGUUGACAUUUAGAUAUUGAGGUAACAGGACAUCUUGGAGUUGAAAUUUCCAGAAUCUUUGCUGGAAAGUCUCAUAAUCUCAAAACAAAAUCAAGCAAAUUUGGAGCAAAGAAAGUUGCUGAAAAUGUCAAGGCAUGAAAUCCAAGAAACAAGUAAAAACUGUAUACAGCAUUUGAAGCAAUGGCACUCGACAUUGGCAUGAGGCAGUGGAUGGAAGUGAUUGCUAGAAGAUGGAUAAUGAAAGAGGUGACUGGUAAGAGUGCCCCAGUGCACUGCCUGCUACAAAUUGCAAGCUGGGUUUAGGGAGGGGCAAUAUAGGCAGAGCAAGACUUCUC